GGGGUGGGGGCUACUGAAGGCGAGUUAAGCGAAAGUACAUUUCUUAAAACCAGAUUCAAUCAGAAAGAUCCUUGUUGGAGAUGGGUUCAAGGCCCCGUGGAAGACAUCAGGCGGAACAUUUAAUUUCGUUCAAACGAGCCUCAUAAUUUGAAAGUCCGCCUCAAGCCUAUCAUUCUGGAAAGCGUGCAGCGAAUGACUUCCUGACACGCCCAGGGAGGCAGGAGAGAGAUGAAAACAUGUGUGAAAGCUGUCAUCCAGUUGUCCAAGAUGCCUCAGAGAGCAGUCCGGUUCCCAGCAGCCCCUGAACGGCUUGGGUCCUGCGCGCGUAGACCCGAAAGCUCUCCCCAGUGUUGACGACACAGAAUUGGGGGGCGGGGGGCAGGUUGCUGCUCAGAACGUGACCGUGAGCCAUCCCCGUCCAUCGUCCCCAGACCAGAGCACUGGUCGGCAUGGUGGACGUUGUCAUCCUGAUUACGUGGCGUAGUAGACUGGUUGGUGAAAUAAAAAAUAAUCAGUUCUCUCUGU